AUCCAAACCAUAGCACACCUCGAGUAGGAUCAACUCCAAGACAGAACCUCUGGACCGCUCAAGUCAAGUGCGGAAAGCCCACGAUGAAGAGACCACUUUAAAACCAGCCACGCCCAAAAGAGUCACAUUCAAAGAAACAAAAAUAGGAGUUAUUUAGUUUUGACUUCUCGGGAACACUGGAAACCAAAAAAGCUAUAGAAUCACACCUUGAAAGUGCUCAAGGAAACUGCAACUAGAACUCUUCACCCUGGAAAAAUGCCUCAAGGUAAAAUAGAGACAUUUUCACAAGAACAAAAACUGUGAUCAUUUGUUGCUGGCAUAAGUUCCCCCACAAACACUAAAGCACAUUCUUCAGGCUAAAAAGAAGUGUCCCCAGGGGAUCCUAAAUCUGCAGCAAAGAACAAGGAGCAUCGAAAAGGGAGCAUGGGAGUGCUUAGAGAAAUUAUUUAAAAGACCAUUGACUAAAGCAAAGACAGCGGCAGUGUGUGGCCACUCGUAUGGCAAAUGCAGGACUACCUCUGGCAGUAAAAGCACAGAGAGAAGACAAGGUAUAAACAGACUUAUUCCGCUCAAAGUUCUGCAUAACAGCAGGAGUGGAGCACCAUCAACUCCAGGUAGACGGUGGUAAGUGAAAGUAAAUACUGUGAUCCCUGGGAUGCUGAACAACAUAACAGCCACAAGGAAGAUUCAAAGCUCAGAGGAACAACAACACACCC
rnacentral:lncRNA from 1 species